rnacentral:rRNA from 1 species
AGCACCGGCUAACUCCGUGCCAGCAGCCGCGGUAAUACGGAGGGUGCGAGCGUUAAUCGGAAUUACUGGGCGUAAAGCGCAUGCAGGUGGUUUGUUAAGUCAGAUGUGAAAGCCCGGGGCUCAACCUCGGAAUUGCAUUUGAAACUGGCAGACUAGAGUACUGUAGAGGGGGGUAGAAUUUCAGGUGUAGCGGUGAAAUGCGUAGAGAUCUGAAGGAAUACCGGUGGCGAAGGCGGCCCCCUGGACAGAUACUGACACUCAGAUGCGAAAGCGUGGGGAGCAAACAGGAUUAGAUACCCUGGUAGUCCACGCCGUAAACGAUGUCUACUUGGAGGUUGUGGCCUUGAGCCGUGGCUUUCGGAGCUAACGCGUUAAGUAGACCGCCUGGGGAGUACGGUCGCAAGAUUAAAACUCAAAUGAAUUGACGGGGGCCCGCACAAGCGGUGGAGCAUGUGGUUUAAUUCGAUGCAACGCGAAGAACCUUACCUACUCUUGACAUCCAGAGAACUUUCCAGAGAUGGAUUGGUGCCUUCGGGAACUCUGAGACAGGUGCUGCAUGGCUGUCGUCAGCUCGUGUUGUGAAAUGUUGGGUUAAGUCCCGCAACGAGCGCAACCCUUAUCCUUGUUUGCCAGCGAGUAAUGUCGGGAACUCCAGGGAGACUGCCGGUGAUAAACCGGAGGAAGGUGGGGACGACGUCAAGUCAUCAUGGCCCUUACGAGUAGGGCUACACACGUGCUACAAUGGCGCAUACAGAGGGCGGCCAACUUGCGAAAGUGAGCGAAUCCCAAAAAGUGCGUCGUAGUCCGGAUUGGAGUCUGCAACUCGACUCCAUGAAGUCGGAAUCGCUAGUAAUCGUGGAUCAGAAUGCCACGGUGAAUACGUUCCCGGGCCUUGUACACACCGCCCGUCACACCAUGGGAGUGGGCUGCAAAAGAAGUAGGUAGUUUAACCUUCGGGGGGACGCUUACCACUUUGUGGUUCAUGACUGGGGUGAAGUCGUAACAAGGUAGCGCUAGGGGAACCUGGCGCUGGAU